rnacentral:rRNA from 1 species
GUCAAAAACGCUGGCGGCGUCGUUAACACAUGCAAGUCGAACGAUGGAACCACUUCGGUGGGGAUUAGUGGCGAACGGGUGAUUAACACUUGGGCAAUCUGCCCUGCACUCUGGGACAAGCCCUGGAAGACGGGGUCUAAUACCGGAUACUGAUCCGCCUGGGCAUCCAGGCGGUUCGAAAGCUCCGGCGGUGCAGGAUGAGCCCGCGGCCUAUCACACUUGUUGGUGAGGUAGUGGCUCACCAAGGCAACAACGGGUACCCGGCCUGAAAGGGCAACCGGCCACACUGGGACUGAAACACGGCCCAAACUCCUACGGGAGGCACCAUUGGGGAAUAUUGCACAAUGGGCAAAAGCUGAUGCACCAACCCCGCUUUGAGGGAUAACGGCCUUCGGGUUUUAACCUCUUUCAGCAGGGAAAAACGAAUUUGACGGUACUGCAAAAAAACGCCGGCUACUACUUCCACACCGCGGUAUACUUAGGCCAACUU